CUUCAACUGGCCUAUAGAUGUACAACAGACAGGAAUGAACUCCAAAUGUUUUAAUACAUGUAGGAGUCUCAUUCUGGACUAUGGUUUUUAUCGGAUCGCACGCUGAGGAAGGAUUUAUGUGUUAAGUUGUUUAUCCUACAUCCACAGUUCAAAUCACAUAUAGGAUGACCGGGAUUCUUUGCUUCCUGAGCUGCUCGACAUGCCUGUGCGCAGCCAAGACUAGGGUGAUCUAACUGUGCAAGUUAAACACAUUUGACAUAAAACUUCCUCUUUUUCAUGUGUCAGUUGCAGGAGAGAUUUAGAUCUGCAGUGUAAUUGCCAACUGCUGCAGUUUUGGGCUAAGUGCAGGGGUCUCUCUACACCAUAACCUUUACAGUGACAAAGUUGUUAUGGUGCUUAAAUGUAC